CGGGACGGGUGAGUAAUGUCUGGGAAACUGCCUGAUGGAGGGGGAUAACUACUGGAAACGGUAGCUAAUACCGCAUAACGUCGCAAGACCAAAGAAGGGGACCUUCGGGCCUCUUGCCAUCGGAUGUGCCCAGAUGGGAUUAGCUAGUAGGUGGGGUAACGGCUCACCUAGGCGACGAUCCCUAGCUGGUCUGAGAGGAUGACCAGCCACACUGGAACUGAGACACGGUCCAG
rnacentral:rRNA from 1 species